AAAACAAUACGAUGCAUGUAGGUAAUUUGAAAAAAAAAACAAAAAAGGAUUAGAAUACUGUGAAUUAUUCACCAACCUAUCAAGAAGCCUUUAAAUAUAACCGUUAGUCCUAGUAAAAUGACUUGCAACAAGAUCAACAUCUUCCAAACCAUUGUCUAAUAAAACUAAAUUAAAUGCAUCAUAGCACCCUGAGGUUGAGCAUACCACGAGAGAUUUUAGAAGAAGACUGCAUAACAUUGAAAUCCUCUCUCAUAAUCCAAGAACUAAAUAACAUUAAAAUCCCCUCUCAUAAUCCAAGAACUAUCAUGGCUAUCAGCAUAGGCCACAAAGGCAUCCCACAAAUCCUCCUGCAUAGGAGUAGUGCAAUUAGCAUAAACAUAAGAUAUAAGAACAUAAACAGGAAAAAAAGAAUGGCUAACCUAGUAAUGUAACACAUAAUACACAUCCUAGAGUAGCUCUAUAGAGAAUGGUGAAGACCAAGACACCUAGAUCUUCCUAGACUAUGAAGAAAUAACACGAUUCAUCCUAAGUCAAACAUGAGCAGACUCUAGCCUAUCAACCUCAAUAAAAUUUUCAAAAAUACAGAAAAACAUAAAAGAUACAUCCGAAUCAAUUAUCACAAUCUACAUAUAGCGAGGGCUUUAAUAAUCACCUUAAUAUUCUAUAUAAGCACAUUUAUCAUUAGCAAGUGAAAGAUUGGGUGACAACCCACCAUUAAGUAUUACGGAAUUUCGGCCCACAGCCAAAGCAGAAUCCUAGGAUGACCUACCAACCCUCAAGCCAUCCAUAUUAUCAAUCAUUGCAUUAGAAGGGCUAGAGGUUCGAUUUUCCUUAGAAACAAACAAAAAUCAUGCAUCCUCCCCUAAUUCAUCCUAAAAGAUGAAUCUGUAUCAAAUAUAGACAAACCUAACGAUUAUCACUUUCCUCAAAACCCAAAACUAUAGUCACUACCCUAAAAAACAUCAUCAGAAAUAUGGUACAAUGCGAAUUGACGGCCAUCUGCAUCUGCAUCUGCGAUAGUCGUUGUACGUGCACCUUAGUCAACCAUGACAACAUUUCUAUCAGUAGCCAUAGUAACCCGAGUUUGGUCAAUUAAUUCAGUCUCUAUAUCCUGAGCAAUAGGAAUAAGAGCAUAAGUAUACAAAGAAACCUCACUAGAAACCAUAAGCUCCAACGAUUGGAUCUCCUUAGUAGGAUUAAACUGCAAACCGGACCCAAAAUUCUAUCCCUAAACCAAAACAAGUUGUGUUCUAGGCCCGUGAGAUUGAUUUUCUGCAAUAACAUGUUGAGGAACAUGAGCCACUGUAGGUUAAGCAGCUGCAUUAGAAGCAGGCUUUAUCACAUUAUCCUAAGGUUCAUAAAAUAGGCUAUUGGGCCCUCUGUAGCCUAAGGUUAGUCACAUAACAAGCUUAAGAAGAGUGACUAAGGUACUAUAAGAGGGUACUUCUUUAAAAAUAACAUUAUGCUAAAAUCUAGAGUUGAUUUUACUAACCCAUAGAAGUGGUAAUAAAGAACUCAAAACAUCAUAUUCAACCAAAACUUUAGCUACAGAUGGCCUAUUCACAGAGGUUGCAACGUGAUCUACAUGUAAUGACUUUCCAGUAGCUGAAGCAAUCGAGAAUAGAGCGAUUUUAUAAUUAAUAAAAUGAAUAGGUAAAUAUAGAAAAUAUAUUGAAAUUAGCACAAUCGAAGAUACCUUAGAACAUUAAAAAUAAAUUAUCCACUUAAAAAGAUGCAUACCUCUACUAUUAAUGUACAAGGUAUGCCGAAUCCAAAUUUUGGAAUAAUCUUCUUCAAUCUCAAGCUUGAUAAUAAUAUAUGCAUUAUCCAACAAGGAAACUUAGGGAGUUUCACUUUAACUUAAAAGACACAAAAAACUUGUGAAUGACAUCCAUUGCAGGUGGCCAAAAGAGAACUUACGAAUAAAUAAUAAUUUAUAAGGUUUUACCAUGGACUAAAUUUUCUUAACUGAAAAGUGAAUAGCAAAUUCUCCCCAGUAGAGCAGAAUUGACUUAACAAGGAUGAGAGAAGCUGAACAGAUAGAAACAAUAUCAAUAAAGGAUUUUGAAGGGGGAUUGCUGGCAUUGUGACGAAAGAUGGAUGCAGGAUUAACUACAAAGAUGUAUGAAGGUUUGAGAAGGGUGCGGUUUUGAUGACUGGUAGCUAUUGAUCGAUUUUAAACGGUCAUUUUUUCUUUCUUUUUAGAAGACCACCAUGGGAACCUUACCUGUAAUAAAGAUUAUUAAUUGAAAAAUACAAAUAGAGAGAGCAUAAACUAAAACCUUAAAGUCUAAGUGAAAUACAAAAGAGUAUAAAAAACCCAAGAGCAAGAAUCAAAAGCAAACUAGCAAAGAGUGAAUGAAAUGAAAAAAAAAAAAAAGGGUAGCAAACAGUGAAUGCAUUGAAAAAAAAAGAGCAAAAUAGCAAAGAAUGAAUGAAAUGAAAAACUAUCGCUUAACAUGAGGGUCUUCCUGCGUGUCCAGAUGAAUGAUACUAGAUAAAUUAAUAGGCAAACCCUGAUGACCCAUUAAAAGCUGACGAAUCUGAUGUGAAUAAGCCUAAUUAGCCAUGAAAUAAGUUGUAGAAGUAGUAUCACAAAAAGCACCUGACCACACAAAAGGAGAAAAAGUAUGGCUUAGACUCAACUAAGAACAAAAACAUAAUCUCACUAUACAAAGCCAUGAGAAGUAAUCUAAGAAUCUACAAUAGUCGAAUCAAACUUUACCUUAAGCACAUAGUAACCAUGCUGAGUAGCAAACUCCAAACUCUCACAUAUAGCCAUUAGCUUAGCAUAAAGAAUUGACCCGUUCCUAAGAAAAUAGCUAAAAUAUGCUAAAACCAUACCCCAAUGAUCAUGAAAGAAGAAAAUAGCUAAAAUAUGCUAAAACCAUACCCCAAUGAUCAUGAAAGAUACCUCAAGUAGCGAACAACCUAAGAUUAUCCUGAGAGCAACCAUCCACUGAAAGCUUCACUAUUACAGACAACACUCAGCAACUAGAAGAAAAACUUAAUUGGCCUUCAAAUUGGCUUAAUUACUCUCAAACCAUCCACAAAUAGUGAGCCAAAGACCCCUGCAGUUAGGAUUCUUUAAAACCAAAUACAAAAUUAGUAAGCUUAAAGUUUGAAACCACCCUGUGAACAACUUUUACAGAAAACAAUGCCAAAUCAAACCUAAGAGCAUUUCGAGCUUUACAAAUAUUCUACAAAAAGAAGCAUGUAAGAAAAGCCAAAUGUGUCCCAAUAAAGAGGUACACAGUCGCCAAUGAGCAAAUAAGGCAUGAGGGGUUAGAAAAGCAACUGACCUCAAACCAAGAAUAUGAUGGAAAUCGAGUCAGAUCACUUUGACCUACAAGCAAUCGAGAAACAUAUGCCCAGAGGUCUCAAUAGUUUGGUUACAGAAACACCAAGAAACCAUGUAAAAAUCCUUGAGUAUAAAGCAUUGUCAGUGACCAAAAAAACCAUGUAAUAGCCUCCAAAGAAAAAAGAAAACCCAUGAUGGAAUAUAUCGCUGGUAGAUAUACAAAAAACCAUUUCUCUAGGCUUAGAGUCAUGAAUUAGCUUCAAGAUAGUCCUGAAUUGAAAAUCACCAUCCUAGGCCAGAUUCCCCUUUCCAGAUAGCAUCCCUUAAAAAAAAAAAAAUCCAGUACCAUGGAUGCCACACUAGAAUUAAAUAAGAAUAAAAGACAAGAAUCGAGCCAACAAUUAUAUCAAAAACUACAGGCCCAACAAUUAAUCAUCCAACACAUGGGGCUCAGCGAUGCAGUGAAUAGAACAAAGACGUCUCCAAAGAGGAACAUGUUAACAAAAUUGACCAUAUCUAGGCGUUUAAUCCUACAAUACUUAAACUUCAUAAAAGAAGUCCAUAGAGAACGCUGGUUAUGAAAGCUUCAACUCGAGAGCCUUGGACAAAUUAGCAAAUGAUCAAAAGCCCAAACCACCCUUUUCAACUAGAUAACAAAUUGAGCCAUCUACAUUAAUGAAUCUAUCUCUUAAUAUUUGUAUCACCCCAUAAGAAACGAGUGACAAGUCUUUCCAAAUGCUAAAUAAUAGCCAAGUUGACCAAAGGACAUGAAACGAAUACAAAGGCAUAGAGGACAACACAUGGUGAAGAAGCAUCAAUUUCCACCAUAGGAAAGCAAUUGAUUAGCCCAAUUAGAGAUCUUGUCACCGACCUUCUGAAUCAUAUCAUCAAAGUAAGUAUUCUUAAGGAAUCCCCUAUAAACCAAGCAUCUAAAAUAAGUGAUUGGCAUGGCAAAAAAUUGUGUAAUAGAGUGGACAACGGCAUAGCGAGAAGUCGAAGCUAAACAUUUAAUAUAAAAACUACUCUUAGCCUGACUAAUCAACUAGCCUAGAACUGCCUCAGCCUCAUAGUGAUGAAGGAAGUCUAUAAGCCGCAAAAGGCUCUACAUUAGAAAAAAUAAUAAUGUUAUCAACAAAACCCUAAUGGGAGACAAGAUUAGGCUGCGCCGUGUCGUGCAACAGUGUAGAAGAAUAGUAAGAAUACAAACGAUCUAAACCCCGAGAAAGAAACUUAACAGUAGUAAUAAACAAGCAUAGGAAAAGAGGACCGCCCUACCCAAGAUCAUCCUGAGAUUGGAAAAAUCAGUGGCUAACCUAAUUCACCACCAUCGAGCACUGGGACCUAAAAAUAACUCUUUGAAUCAAAGAAAUCCGCUGCUCUAAGAAUCCAAGACACCUUCACAUCUGUAUAAUAGAAGACUAAGACAACCGAUCAUACGCUUUGGCCAUGUCCAACUUCAGCACCACAUUGCUCUUCCGAUAACGAUGGUUCAAGUCGUGUGAUGCUGAAGCUUCAGUUGAGGUUUUAUUUUUAUUUCUUACUUCUAUUUAUGUUUAACAAGAGUAAUUUUGAAAAUAGGUAGGGGCUUGCGAGAUUAUUUGAGAUUCAAAUAUCAC
rnacentral:lncRNA from 1 species